GAAAACGUCUUUCCAAUAAAGGCUGUGUAAAUUGGUGUGCGUGUAACGCCUGUCUUGCUGUGAUGUUCUGCUGUGAUGGAGAAUCUAGGCUGCAUCUCAGAACCUGCCCAUCUGGAUCAUUCUCAUGACGCACCAACAACAACACCACACUCCCCAACAACGGCCUUCCCAACACCAUCAACAGCAACACCCUCACCAGCAACAUCACCAACCAUAACAGCACCAGCAACAUCACCAACCAUAACAGCACCAACACCCUCACCAACAUCAUCGCCAACAAGAGCAGCAGCAUCACCCACAACAACAUUGUCAACAAUAGCACCACCACCAGAAUCAUCAUCUUCACUCCGUGUGAUGAAAGAGACAGACUGCCCCGGGUGUAGAGUGGGUGUGUUGAAGAAGGCAGUGACGGGGCGUGGAUCCUUGCUGGGAGUGUUGUGCUUCCCCUGUACCCUGCUCUGCUGCCCUAACCGCGUCAGGAGGCGCUGUAACAACUGCCGGGCACUCUUCUGAACUCCAAGAGUAGGUGAGGCAAGCAGCCAGGUGCAAGAGAGAAGACAAGAUGGAGCAGAAAACUUCAGCUUACGGACCUUACAACCCACCACAGAAGGUAACAGAGAAAUCAGUGUCCUACAAUACACAAGCACAUUAAGCUUGAAGCCGCUCAGAUGUUUCGCUACCAAGUAAUCAACGUGGAAUGGUUGAAUUUAAUCAGAUGUGACACUCAGAAAUUAUUGUAUGAAGAACAAUAUUUAAUUUGUUUCAGUUACUUAGAACAAAAAUGGAACCUACACAGGCAAAACUGGGCCACCACCGCCGUACAGCGCCACUCCACCACCCUUGGGCUUCCAGGGGCCUUCACAGCAGUCGAUGUACAUGCAGCAGCAACAACAACCGGUGUACGUGCAGCAGCACGGCUCCACCACAGUUGUCACCACACAA